rnacentral:misc_RNA from 1 species
GUACAUUAGUGCUUGCGCACGACAAUAAAUUUCAUUACAUUCGAGUGUGUAAAAAUCCUCUGCCGGCCGAAGCUAGCAAGAGGCCAAAGGUUCACAGGGUAUUGGAUGAAAGUCACCUCCGUGCACUUGCCGAAGCCAGCACUGAAGGCAACAAUUCGCAAUCAGUAAUGAUCCUUCCGCAGGUUCACCUACGGAAA